rnacentral:rRNA from 1 species
AUUGAACGCUGGCGGCAUGCUUUACACAUGCAAGUCGAACGGUAACAGGCCGCAAGGUGCUGACGAGUGGCGAACGGGUGAGUAAUGCAUCGGAACGUGCCCAGUCGUGGGGGAUAACGCAGCGAAAGCUGUGCUAAUACCGCAUACGAUCUAUGGAUGAAAGCGGGGGACCGUAAGGCCUCGCGCGAUUGGAGCGGCCGAUGUCAGAUUAGGUAGUUGGUGGGGUAAAGGCUCACCAAGCCAACGAUCUGUAGCUGGUCUGAGAGGACGACCAGCCACACUGUGACUGAGACACGGCCCAGACUCCUACGGGAGGCAGCAGUGGGGAAUUUUGGACAAUGGGAGCAAGCCUGAUUCAGCAAUGCCGCGUGCAGGAAGAAGGCCUUCGGGUUGUAAACUGCUUUUGUACGGAACGAAAAGGUUUGGGUUAAUACCCUGGGCCGAUGACGGUACCGUAAGAAUAAGCACCGGCUAACUACGUGCCAGCCGCCGCGGUAA